UGGGGAAUAUUGCACAAUGGGCGCAAGCCUGAUGCAGCCAUGCCGCGUGUAUGAAGAAGGCCUUCGGGUUGUAAAGUACUUUCAGCGGGGAGGAAGGGAGUAAAGUUAAUACCUUUGCUCAUUUACGUUACCCGCAGAAGAAGCACCGGCUAACUUCGUUCCAGCAGCCGCGGUAAUACGGAGGGUGCAAGCGUUAAUCGGAAUUACUGGGCGUAAAGCGCACGCAGGCGGUUUGUUAAGUCAGAUGUGAAAUCCCCGGGCUCAACCUGGGAACUGCAUCUGAUACUGGCAAGCUUGAGUCUCGUAGAGGGGGGUAGAGUUCCAGGUGUGGCGGUGAAAUGCGUAGAGAUCUGGAGGAAUACCGGUGGCGAAGGCGGCCCCCUGGACGAAGACUGAAGAUCAAGUGCGAAAGCGUGGGGAGCAAACGGG
rnacentral:rRNA from 1 species